CGCAUCUGUGCAUGCAGCAUAUCAAUAAGCGGAGGAAAAGAAACUAACAAGGAUUCCCCUAGUAACGGCGAGUGAAGCGGGAAGAGCUCAAAUUUGAAAUCUUAAAGGGUUUCCCUUUACGAAUUGUAGUUUAAAGAAGUGUUUUCUGUUGAGGUUUUGGUAAAAGUUCUUUGGAAUAGGACAUCAUAGAGGGUGAGAAUCCCGUAUUUGACCUUUACUUUCAACUUUGUGAUACACUUUCAAAGAGUCGGAUUGUUUGGGAAUGCAGUCCAAAAUGGGUGGUAAAUUUCAUCUAAAGCUAAAUAUUGGCGAGAGACCGAUAGCGAACAAGUACCGUGAGGGAAAGAUGAAAAGAACUUUGAAAAGAGAGUUAAACAGUACGUGAAAUUGUCAAAAGGGAAGCGUUUGACACCAGUGUUGUUUUUCUGAAAAUCAAUUAAAGAACUGUUUAUGCUAAGCUGUUUAGACUUUAUCAGCUAACUGUUUAGUUUUGAGCUUUUCUUUAAUGCACUUUUCAGUUAACAAGUCAACAUCAAUUUCUUUUGCUGUAAAAAAGCUUGAGGAAGGUGGCUUGAGAUUCGUCUUAAGUGUUUAUAGCCUCUUGCCUAUGCAGUCGGAGAGAUUGAGGUCUGCAGCGUAGAUCCUUCGGGGCUAAAUGCAUUUGUGCUAAGUUAUAGCGUUUUAUAGACAACUUGUUGACUAUGAUUUGUCUUGUAGCUUACUCGCUUAUGUUAUUUUACCUACGCUUAGGAUGUUGAACGCGCACAGAGUCUC
rnacentral:rRNA from 1 species